rnacentral:pre_miRNA from 7 species
GUCUAGGACCUCUGGGUGGUCGCGCUGAUUCCCGGCCAACGCACCAAAUGAAAGAUUUUCGAAUUCCCGGCUAAUGCACCAAAUGAAAGACCCCCGAAGGGAGACCCUCACUCAGACCACUCAAGUCCCGGGACAGCCGCGUACCCAAGAAGACACUAAGACCA